rfam:Aedes aegypti strain Liverpool supercont1.156 genomic scaffold, whole genome shotgun sequence.
UGCCCAGCAACUCCUAUCCCUACCUCCUCGUGGUACUGGCCGGGGUACGAGUAACCUUAGGGAAGA